UAUUGGACAAUGGGCGAAAGCCUGAUCCAGCAAUGCCGCGUGAGUGAUGAAGGCCUUAGGGUUGUAAAGCUCUUUUACCCGGGAAGAUAAUGACUGUACCGGGAGAAUAAGCCCCGGCUAACUCCGUGCCAGCAGCCGCGGUAAUACGGAGGGGGCUAGCGUUGUUCGGAAUUACUGGGCGUAAAGCGUACGUAGGCGGCUUGAUAAGUUAGAGGUGAAAGCCCGGGGCUCAACUCCGGAAUAGCCUUUAAGACUGUCUCGCUUGAACGUCGGAGAGGUGAGUGGAAUUCCGAGUGUAGAGGUGAAAUUCGUAGAUAUUCGGAAGAACACCAGUGGCGAAGGCGGCUCACUGGACGACUGUUGACGCUGAGGUACGAAAGCGUGGGGAGCAAACAGG
rnacentral:rRNA from 1 species